rnacentral:lncRNA from 1 species
GAAAUCAACCUACACAACAACAGAUGCCAGAUGACUCUCCCCACCUGGAGGUUUGGGUUUGGGCCAAAAUGAUGCACCCAGAGUCACAAUUCUAGAUAGGCUCUCUUUCUUCCUACGAUAAAUGGUUGGGCACAGAUGAGGCUAUAUGGAUUGGCAUUGCCUACAAUUUCCAUCUCAUUGGAGCAUAGCAUAUGGUCUAAUAAGUGUUCUUC